AGUUAGUUUAUAACCUUGUAAUCACCAUUAUUACCAUUCUUACAACCAUAGAGUGUUGUGCUAACUAUCUACUUUGUGCAGUAUCCAUCAGAGGGAUCGAAUACGCCUGGAGCUGGAGGUUCGCACUUUGGUUAAGGUGGUAAUCAAGUGUUGAGUCCGUUACGGCCUGCUACAUUUUCUUUUUGUUUGGACUAUGUUUUGCUAUCUUGUCACGACAAUUUGUCAUGUUUGUGUCACUUGCGACGGUUUAUGUGAUGUUUGUGUAAUAUGCGAUGUUUAUGCGACGCUUUAUGUGAUGUUUGCGUAAUAUGCGAUGUUUAUGCGACGCUUUAUGUGA